rnacentral:ncRNA from 1 species
UUCUUCAGGGUCGGGUGAAAGUCCCAACCGGUGGUAAAGCCCACGAGCCGCAAGGCAUGAUUCGGUGACCGUCCGCGAAAGCGGUGGAAUUCCGAGGCCGACAGUACAGUCUGGAUGAAAGAAGAA